rnacentral:ncRNA from 2 species
UUCUUAUCCAGAGAGGCGGAGGGACUGGCCCGAAGAAGCCCGGCAACCGGUUGGUAAAACACGGUGCUAAUUCCUGCAGAGUAAAUACUCUGAAAAGAUAAGGA